rnacentral:rRNA from 1 species
GACGAACGCUGGCGGCGUGCUUAACACAUGCAAGUCGAACGGAAAGGCCCUGCUUUUGUGGGGUGCUCGAGUGGCGAACGGGUGAGUAACACGUGAGUAACCUGCCCUUGACUUUGGGAUAACUUCAGGAAACUGGUGCUAAUACCGGAUAGGAGCUCCUGCUGCAUGGUGGGGGUUGGAAAGUUUCGGCGGUUGGGGAUGGACGCGCGGCUUAUCAGCUUGUUGGUGGGGUAGUGGCUUACCAAGGCUUUGACGGGUAGUCGGCCUGAGAGGGUGGCCAGCGACCUGGGGACUGCGGGACGGCGCAGUCGCCUACGGGAGGCAGCGGGGGAGAAUAUUGGCCAAUGGGGGGAAGCCUGAUGAGACAACGCCGCGUGCGGAAAGACGGUCUUCGGGUUAUAAACCGCUUUCGCCUGUGACCAAGCGUGAGUGACGGUAAUGGGAGAAGAAGCACCGGCUAACUACGUG